rnacentral:misc_RNA from 1 species
AUGCGAUAAGUAGUGUGAAUUGCAGAAUUCAGUGAAUCAUCGAAUCUUUGAACGCACAUUGCGCCCCUUGGUAUUCCAUGGGGCAUGCCUGUUCGAGCGUCAUUUGUACCUUCAAGCUCUGCUUGGUGUUGGGUGUUUGUCUCGCCUCUGCGCGUAGACUCGCCUCAAAACAAUUGGCAGCCGGCGUAUUGAUUUCGGAGCGCAGUACAUCUCGCGCUUUGCAUUCAGAACGACGACGUCCAAAAGUACAUUUUUACACUCUUGACCUCGGAUCAGGUAGGGAUACCCGCUGAACUUAA